rnacentral:rRNA from 1 species
GACGAACGCUGGCGGCGUGCCUAACACAUGCAAGUUGAGCGACGAACCAGGGCUUGCCCUGGGGCAAAGCAGCGAACGGGUGAGUAACACGUGGGUAACCUACCUCGAUAACCGGGACAACCCGAGGAAACUCGGGCUAAUACCGGAUGUGCUCACUGGACUUCGGUUCAGUGCGUAAAGGAAGCUUCGGCCUCCGUAUCGGGAGGGGCCCGCGGCCCAUUAGUUUGUUGGUGAGGUAACGGCUCACCAAGACCGCGAUGGGUAGCUGGUCUGAGAGGACGAUCAGCCACACUGGGACUGAGACACGGCCCAGACUCCUACGGGAGGCAGCAGUGGGGAAUCUUGCGCAAUGCGCGAAAGCGUGACGCAGCAACGCCGCGUGGGGGAAGAAGGCCUUCGGGUUGUAAACCCCUUUCAGGAGGGACGAAGGUUCGGCGGUGAAUAGCCGUCCGGACUGACGGUACCUCCACAAGAAGCCCCGGCUAACUACGUG